rnacentral:rRNA from 1 species
CCCUUAGAUGUUCUGGGCCGCACGCGCGCUACAAUGAUGAAUUCAACGAGUUUAUAACCUUGGUUGAAAAGCCUGGGUAAUCUUUUGAACUUUCGUCGUGAUGGGGCUAGACCCUUGCAAUUAUUGGUCUCCAACGAGGAAUUCCUAGUAAACGCAUGUCAUCAGCAUGCAUUGAAUACGACCCUGUAUUCUGUACACACCGCCCGUCGCUCCUACCGAUUGAAGUUUUCGGUGAGCUUGCAGGAGGAAUUUUUUGAAACUGGUUCGCUAGUGGAUUUUUAUUCCAAAUGCUAACGAAUCGAUGGCUUUAGAGGAAGGAGAAGUCGUAACA